GAUGAACGCUGGCGGCGUGCCUAAUACAUGCAAGUCGAGCGAACAGAUGAGGAGCUUGCUCCUCUGACGUUAGCGGCGGACGGGUGAGUAACACGUGGAUAACCUACCUAUAAGACUGGGAUAACUUCGGGAAACCGGAGCUAAUACCGGAUAAUAUAUUGAACCGCAUGGUUCAAUAGUGAAAGACGGUUUUGCUGUCACUUAUAGAUGGAUCCGCGCCGCAUUAGCUAGUUGGUAAGGUAACGGCUUACCAAGGCAACGAUGCGUAGCCGACCUGAGAGGGUGAUCGGCCACACUGGAACUGAGACACGGUCCAGACUCCUACGGGAGGCAGCAGUAGGGAAUCUUCCGCAAUGGGCGAAAGCCUGACGGAGCAACGCCGCGUGAGUGAUGAAGGGCUUCGGAUCGUAAAACUCUGUUAUUAGGGAAGAACAAAUGUGUAAGUAACUAUGCACGUCUUGACGGUACCUAAUCAGAAAGCCACGGCUAACUACGUG
rnacentral:rRNA from 1 species